UACGUAGGGGGCAAGCGUUGUCCGGAAUCAUUGGGCGUAAAGCGCGCGUAGGCGGCCCGGUAAGUCCGCUGUAAAAGUCCAGGGCUCAACCCUGGAAAGCCGGUGGAUACUGUCGGGCUAGAGUCCGGAAGAGGCGAGUGGAAUUCCUGGUGUAGCGGUGGAAUGCGCAGAUAUCGGGAGGGACACCAAUGGCGAAGGCAGCUCGCUGGGACGUUACUGACGCUGAGACGCGAAAGCGUGGGGAGCAAACAGG
rnacentral:rRNA from 1 species